rnacentral:rRNA from 1 species
AGUGAACGCUGGCGGUAGGCCUAACACAUGCAAGUCGAACGGCAGCACAGUAAGAGCUUGCUCUUACGGGUGGCGAGUGGCGGACGGGUGAGGAAUACAUCGGACUCUACUUUUUCGUGGGGGUUAACGUAGGGAAACUUACGCUAAUACCGCAUACGACCCACGGGUGAAAGCAGGGGAUCUUCGGACCUUGCGCGAUUGAAUGAGCCGAUGUGGGAUUAGCUAGUUGGCGGGUUAAAGGCCCACCCAGGCGACGAUCCGUAGCUGGACUGAGAGGAUGAUCGGCCACCUUAGAAGUGAGACACGGUCCAGACUCCUGCGAGAGGCAGCAGUGGGGAAUAUUGGGCAAUGGGGGCAAGCCUGGUCCAGCGAGACCGAGUGGGUGAAGGAGGCGUUCGGGUUGUGAAGCCGUUUUGUGGGGAAAGAAAAGCAGCAGGUUGAUACCCCGCUGUUGUGACGGUACCCAAAGAAGAAGCACCGGCUAACUUCGUG